GGUGGCUCAGUGGUAGAGCUCUUGCCUUGCAUGCAUGAAGCCCUGAGUUCGAUUCCUCAGCACCA
rnacentral:tRNA from 1 species